rnacentral:rRNA from 1 species
CCCUAUCGAGCUUUACUGGAUACCGAUAGCGUUAAUUUAGAAUGAUCGAUACUAAGUAUCCUAAUUCUAAGUUAAUAAUUUUUGUUGGUAGGACAGUUUAGUUGGGGCGACUACCUUUGAAUAAGAAACGAAGGCGAGCUUAUGGUAUUAUUAAAAUCUCAUUAGCCUCACAGUGAGGGGGACACCCCUAGCUGGCACAUAAGGGAUGUGGGCGAUAGUGACCCGAUAUGAUUAUCCAAAAUAAAUAUCGAAAGCGGAUAAAAGCUACCGUAGGG